rnacentral:piRNA from 1 species
AUGAGGUAGCAAAUNCGAUACGGCCAUGG